rnacentral:misc_RNA from 1 species
CAACCCUCAGGGUCCCUCCGCCUCGCGCGGUCGGAGCCUGGCGUUGGGGAUCGGCCCGCCCCGCGCGGCGCCGUCCCCCAAAUACAGUGGCGGUCCCGCCGCAGCCUCCCCUGCGCAGUAGUUAUCAACUCGCACUGGAGCGCGGCGCGGCCACGCCGUAAAACCCCCGACUUUUAGAA